AAAUUUGUUUUUAUUUCUGAUACCCGAGUGACCUUUCCAAGUUCAACAAUGGCUGGAUAGCAGCCGCGCUAGGAUUUCAUCUAAGUCUAUGCAAUCAUUUAAGACUAGAAACUCACUUUGCAUCCUACGAACGGAGGUUACACAUCAGCUCGUCCACAGCACCCUAAGCUCCGCAAGUCACAGUGAGCGAGACUCAUUGUGGUGGCUACUCUCCUGCAGGGACCAGGCCAGUUUUCCCUGGGACCAAUCUGUCAAUCUGAUGUCUGAGCGCUGGCCUCCACUUCCAGCUGAGCUGCAGGCCUCACGCCACCCCUCAGGUUCCAGAAAGCAAGGGGACAUUUGGAGCCACUCGGAAUCUGGGGAGCCUGCGCAGCGUCUUUGGAAUUCUUUCCUGCCGACAUGCUUCCAGCAUUUCUCAUCACGCAAGAGCCAGGUGGGCGCCCUUACUCUAUCCUCGCAAGGCAAAUGGCCCACUUGGGCUUACAGAUGAUCUACAGCACAGAUGUUCUCUUCCCAAACAUUCAAGGUGGAAAUUUGAUAGACACUUGGAGAAUAGAGGUGACCAUUAAAGUUUGAAUCCCUUCCCUGUCUUCCUCUGAUUCUUCCUGCCCAGUGAUGAGAACCAGCAAAUCUUUGCCAAGUUCAAGCAUGGGUCAAUGGCUACGUUCUGUCCAAUAUGGAGUUCUGGUCCAAAUUCCCUCCUCAGGGGCUGUUGUGUUUAGCAGAGCUCAGGGUUGCUUAGAGUGUAGGGAGGACAUAAGAGACCGGACCUGGGUCUGAUGGGGAUUCUAGGGGUGCUCUUCGAUUGGGGGUGCUAUCAAUGAUCAGGACAUAUAUGUAAGCAGGAGGUGUUGUCUGACUGAAAUUCAGGCUGCAUUCUACCUGUGCAGUAGAUCUAUACAUUCUGUUUUUCAAGUCUCUGUUUUCAUCAGUAACCUGCCUGGUUGGUUACAAAGGCCAAGCUGAAGAACAGAGAGGCCAGGCCUCAAUACGGGGCUCAACUUGCCAUCUGUCAGUUCAGCUCUAAGUGUCACCAGCUCAUAACUCUACCAGCUCAUAGCUCUACCAGCUCAUAGCAUUGCCAGCUCAUAGCUCUACCAGCUCAUAGCAUUGCCAGCUCAUAGCUCUACAAGCUCAUAGCAUUGCCAGCUCAUAGCUCUACCAGCUCAUAGCAUUGCCAGCUCAUAGCUCUACCAGCUCAUAGCAUUGCCAGCUCAGCCUCGGGGACUUGCGCUCAAUGGCAAGUGUUGCCACCCAGAGGAGGCUUCCUGGGGCCCUGUCCUUCAGCAGAAGACAGUCCAGAGGACAGACAGAGUCCCUACUGCCCUCCAAUCUGAGGAAGCCAAGGUGAAGCUUGUAGAGUCUGAACUGCUUGCUGUGCCUGCCCCUGGAGCAGUUGACCUCGGGCAUUCUGAAGGCAGAAGCUGCAAACUUUGAAGAAAGGAGAUAGCAGAAUGUAGUGGACCCCAACUACAGACUCAUAUCCUGCAAAAUUCUUCUUCUCAUUAUGGACAAACAACAUGGCUGGGAAAUCAAGCCUUAUUCUGUCUUAGACCGGAAGGAGGAUUCUAGGGACCUGGCCAUGGGGCCGAUUGCAGAAAACAAUGGCGGAUGAAGCGAGAGAUUUGUUGGAACCAGUAGAUGGUCAAGCACUGGCUGCACUAGAACCUACUGAGUAGCUGUGUCAGGGGGCAUGCUGGCCACUAGAAAGCCGCAGUGGGUUGGCCUGAUACUGUGUAUUCUAAUGCUACACAGAAUGGUUGUCCCAGAGAGGAGAGGAAUAGAACCAAGUCACACUGUAUGACCUCACUCUAAGCUGUUUCUGAUUGGUAAGUAAAGAUGCUGAGACAGCCAAUAGCUAGGCAGAAGAGACAUAGGUGGGGUUUAGGUUUCCCCAGGCUAGGGUGCCAAAGAGAAGAGAGAGAGAGAGAGAGACAGAGAGAGAAAAGAGAGAGAGAGAGAGAGAAACAGAGAGAGAGAGACAGAGAGAGACAGAGAGACAGAGACAAAGAGAGACAGAGAGAGACACACAGAGAGACAGAGACACAGAGACACAGAGAGAGACAGAGAGAGGAGGGAGGAAGAAGAGGAAGAAGAAGAAGUAGAAGUCAUUAUGCACAGGGAGCUUCGACCUACUGCAGCCCCAACACUGCUUACGGAUUGAUGGAAGAAAACUGCAGCUCUGCGUUCGGAGGACAGCAGCAUCUCCCGUCACCCCUGGACACCUUCCAUUGCAGAGGCUUCUAACUUCCUGAGCAGUUAUGGAGUAAAGGAAUACCAGGCCCUGUGCAGAUCUGUCGUGAGCCUGAUUAUACAGCCCUCCUGGGAACCUGUCUUCUUGCUGCUUCAUAAAGGCUGGGGCUUCUCUCUUUGUUUCCCAUGUAGAGGUGGGGGCUUUGGGGCUGGCCCCUUCUCUGUGAAUUAUUUGCAACCUUUUCCUGCUCCCCUCACCCCACCUCCACCCUCCGUACUAUGACCCUGGGAAGCUGGGAGGGGCUGGAGGGGUGGAAACUGGGAUUCUUGGCAGCUCCUCGCUCCAGUGGUAUGAUCAGGUUGGCCAAGGUAGAGUACACCAGCUAUGAGCUCUACCUCCCUGGUGGUAGGUUUGGGGCUGAUAAGAACCCUGCUUCCUGCUGCUCUGCUCCCUAGAGCACUCCAGAGGCCCACUGUGCCCCUUAAUCCUGUUCUGCGUUUUCAGAUAGCUGCCGCUUCGUGACUAAAGGCCCUGAGGCAUUUCUUUCCUAAGGGGAAGCUGACUGGCACUGUUAAUGCCUCGCACACACACACCACACUGCCACCACCCCCUGGCUACUGUGUGUAGGCUGUCUGUGAAGUAUGAUAAAAAAAAAAUCAAUCAGAACCAAAGAUAAAGAUACAGGAGCAAAGAGGUUUUACUUGGAGAAAGUAGAAACAGAGCAACCUACACGUGUUGCCAUCCCCCUCUAAGAAGAAAACCAGCCAGCACUGGUACACCACGCUCUCCUAGAGCUGACCAGACCCAUCUUGAAGAAAGAUGAUGAGAACCAGGCACUGGGACAGCCAGGUAACGUGUAUGCACUGCCAAGGGACAUGGUGCGCCAUUCCUAAACCAUCCCUUGUGUGUAGACACCAGCAUCCGUUAGGUGGUGUAGAAGAAGAGCAAAAGGAGCAGACCGGGAAGGACAAACAUUUGGGGCUGUUGGCGGCUGCACCCAUUCAGAAUUUCUAGGGACUAAGUUUGUUCCUGUGACCCUGAACACAAAGGGGGCCUCUGUGGGCAGGACGGCUCUGAGCGAAGGAAAUUGUUAAUCCCACGGAUUCAACGGGGGGAGACCUCCAACUGAAACCAUGGCCAAAUAAAUUAUUUUUUGUUCCUACAUGAGCUGUCUCUCCCUAAAGGUGAAGUUCACAAGAUCAGCUUUGGACAUGGGCAAGUUCUUUUUUUCCUUUGUUGAUAUUGUUGUUUGUUUGUUUGUUUGUUUCUUUGAGACAAAGUUUCUCUAUGUAGCUUUCCCUGACUGUUAUGGAACUCCAUCCUUAGACCAGGCUGGCCUCAAACUCACAGAGAUCCACUUUCCUCUGCUUCCUGAGUGCUGGCAUUAAAGUUGUAUGUCACCACUGCCCAGGGUGUUUAUAGUUUGGGAAUAGGGGUUUUCCAAAUGGGGGAUUUGGCAGGCAAAUAGGCUGGGUUACAGAAGCAGAACCUAAGUCUAACAAAUUGGUCAUAACGAAGACAUGGUGGCUUGGUGGUAGUCAUGACAACACAGUUAUAACAAGGUGGUCUUGACAACACGGUUAUAAUAAGGUGGUCAUGACAACACGGUUAUAGCAAGGUGGUCAUGACAACAGGUGGUUAUAACAAGGUGGUCAUGACAACAGGUGGUCAUAAUAACUUUGUAUCAAAGGUGUGCUUGCUGUUUCCUGUAACAGACAGUACAGAACUAUUUGUAGUUGACAUAGUCCAAUCCUUGAGAAACAGAAAUUUAACCAUAAACAGGAGUGAGCCUAGUUCGUCUCUACUAUAAGAUAGCUUUCAAGCCCGAGAUGGAGGCAGCAGGUUGGCUUAUCAAAACUAACAGCACGAGGUCCAGAAGAACAGGUGCACCAUCAUAAAAACAAAAUCAGACUAGUUAGGAGAGGCUGCCUGUGACUGGGGCGGUUGGGAGCACUGGCUGCUCCUCCAGAGGUCCCGACCACCUUCCAGGCAGUUCCUCCAAUGAGUUUUUCUUCCUCUAGGAGUUUUUUUAAAUUGAGUCUUGUUACUUUCUUGUGAAGUUUGUGAAUUUCCUCGGUUUCUGUGAUGGAAUUCUUAUCUGGAGGAAUUAGAGACAUGAUAUCUAGCCCCACUGUCUCUGAGACCCUCAGGCCUGUUUCAUCCAGUUUAAUGCAGUUCAGCAUUGUGGAGCUAGAGUUCAGCUUUGGUAAUAUUUUGCUUCUUAAAAGAAAAAUUUCUUUCUAGGCCAUCUGCCCUGUACAAUGAAGCCUUGUUUCAAAAAAACAAAACUAAAAACCAGGGGUUGGUGAGAUGGCCCCAAGGUAAACAGUGCCUACUGUUCUUCAGAAGGUCAGAAACUUCAAAUUCGGGUCCCAGAACACACACUGAGCAGCUCAGAACUGGCUGCAACUUCAGUCCCAAGGAAUCUAAAAUCAUAUGUGCACACAUGCCCACACACACACACACACACACACACACACACACACACACACAUCAUUCCACCAUUCAUUCGCUCUCUCUCUCUCUCUCUCUCUCUCUCUCUCUCUCUCUCCCUCUCCCUCCCCCUCCCCUCUCCCUCUCCCAUCUCUCUCAAUUCAAAUAAGAUUAAGAAAACUUUUAUAUCCAAUCUAAGCUAUUAUAAGGACAAAACAGAUUUUAGUUUUGUUUUAUCUGUUUUUGAUUUUUUUUUUUUUGAAGACAGGGUCUGUAUUAGUCAGGGUUCUUUAGAGUCACAGAACUUAUGGAAUGUCUCUCUACAUUGAGGGAAUUUAUUGUGACGACUUACGGUCUGUAUUUCAACUACCCCAACAAGGGUAAGCUGUGAAUGGGAAGCCCGAGGAUCUAGUAGUCGCUGAGUCCCACAAGGCUAGUUGUUUCAGCUGGCCUUCUGUAGACGUAGCUUCCAACAGAUGUGCUGGCACGUAAAUACAAGUAGUGAAGACGAACCAAUCUUCCUUCUUCCAAUGUCCUUAUGUAGGCCUGCAGCAGAAGGUGUGGCCCAGAUUAAGGUGUAAAACACCACACCUGGAUCUGGGACUUGCUUUGUCCCAGACUGACCUUGAACUCAGAGAUUUCCUUGCCUCAGUCUCCUGGGAUUAAAGAAACUUGUGUCUUCUAGCCUCAAGAUCUGGACCACAGGGACAUCCGCCAAUUCUGGAUUGCAGGUCACUCCAGAGGCCAAGAAGCAGCAGCACAGGGGUGAAGUCUGUGACCAGGAGCCUGAGAUCAGGGCAGCUCCCAGCCCCAUGCCCGACAUAUGGCCAACAGACACCUGGUUUUAGUCACACCCUGUAAAACCCAGCUGAGACUGAGGGAAACCUGCCACCAGUUCCUGGAUUAGAAGAGGGAAGGCUGUGAUGUCUAUCCAGUGGUUCUCCAUAUGAGCCUCAGGGUCUCUUCUUAAAGCCUGGGCUGGCUACAAAACAAUUCCCCUGCCUCAGUCCCUGAGUGUUGGCGUUAUAGAUAUUUGCUACCAUACUUGGCCUCAGGUGAGAUUGUGUGUCACUCUGGGCAGAGUUCAGGAAUGGCUGACCCUAGUCGGAGCAUCAAUUCAUAGAACACCUAGUCUCAGAGUCACCAAGGGUCAGAAUCCCCAAGAUAGAAGCAUACCACCACGAGGAAUGAGAGUACCACAUGAGAUUUGAACUGUGACAGAAGAGACACUGUGGGUUUAGAUACCGAAAGGGGUCUGGCGCGGGAUAGCGUCUUCUGGCGGAAGUCUCAGGCAGUGUGUGCCAGCGCAUGCGUCACGCAGAUUGCCUAUCCCACCUCUGUCAUAAGUUACAAAGAGACGUACAGGCUGUAGCUCAGCACAGCCCUUCCACACCGAGAGCAGAAGCCUGGCCUCAGCUUCCCCAGGAAGGAUCAGGCUCUGCUAGCACACAACAGCAAAUAUGAGGGGGGUGGCUGGCUCACUAAUGAAUUCACUUCUUAAUCACAUUGUAUACUUCUUGCAAGCUGAACACACUGCCCUGUGGUGCUGUUGCCUCCAGGGUCCAGUUCUCCAGCAGCCAUUGAACACUCACCAUGACCUUGGGAAGCGAGCGUAUAUCAAAACAAAGCUGCUCUAUAUUAAAACCCCGCCCACAGGGCCCCGCCCCAACCAAGGUCCAACUCCACCCACAGGGCUCAGCCCCGCUCACAGGGCCCAGCUCUGCCCACAGGCCCCUUGCCCCACCCAGAGGACUCAGCCCCGCCCAUAGGGCUCAGCCCCGCCCAUAGGGCUCAGCACUACCCACAGGGCUCAGCCCAGCCAACAGGGCCCGGACCGGUCCACAGGACUCAGCCCCGCCCACAGAGCCCAGGGACAGCAGCCCUCCUGAGAAAAGAUUCCAUCGAGGCAAAUGAAGGAGGAUGACAACCCUUGGCCUCAGUGCUACCCUCCGUGUGGGAGCAGGGGCCACCUGUUAAAGUUAGGUCCGUUUCUUCCUCCCAGCUCCAUGCUCCCAGAAAUAAGACUCAGACUCAAAAUAAUUUACGAAUACCUAGGUCACAUAGCUAGGUUCCUCUCUGACUACGCCAUAACUUAAAAUAACCCACUUACUUUAACCUCGGUUCUGCCACGUAGCUGGUUACCUGCACUCAGGUGCCAUGCGUCCGACUUGGCACAUCUUCCAGUGAGAAUUUCCAGCACCUGGCUCUAUCAUGGAAUUCUUUCUGCCUCCCGGAUGUCCCGCCUUUGAUUUUACCCUUUCCUAUAGGCCAUAGACUUUUUAAAUUGACAGGUGAUGAAUCCGUACAACACACAAGAUAUUCUCUCUACAGCUACCAGGGAGACCGGGGGCAGGGAGAUGCCUGAAAGCUCCUCCUGGCCACUAACUAACCAAGGCUGAUUUCUUCUGUGAGUCAGUUGGGAGCAAGCAGUAUAUAGGAUGAGAGGGUGCUUGACUCAGUGGUCUUCCCCAAGUCCAUGUCCUAGCUUGUGCCCAAGAAAAACAGAAAACUCCAGUUGAAGCACAUUUUAAAAACAUCUUCUCAGGACCCCCUCAAAACUGUCCAGAUCACCCCCACAAACAAGGCAAGUCUGAGAAGUGGUCACAGACCCUAGGAAACGAAGGUCAUGGGGACCCCGAAGGGACCCUGCAAUGUAAGAACGACAUCAGGGGGCUAGUGAGGGCUGAUGCCGUGUGGACUCCUUCAGCAGUGACAUACUCAAGUGACUUUGAACAUGUGGCUCCGUGUUGUGAAAUAUUAACAUAGAGGGUAGCUGGGGGUGGGGGUGGGGUCCAGAGGCUGUGCGUUCUCUUUGCUGCUUUUCUGACGAGUUUUUAAAUGUGAGAAGCUUAUUUAAAUCAAGAAGGAAAAAGAUCCGUAGUAUUCCCACUCACAGAAGGAUCCCAUGGGCUCAGAGCUUCUCGUCCACGGGAGACUCUCUUGCUCAGUCUUACCACAAACAUGACAAACGAAAUCAGGCCUGCAUUUCACAGGUAAGCAAAGUGGGCAUCAGCUCCCAUUACAGAUGGUUGUGAGCCACCGUGUGGUUGCUGGAAAUUGAACUUGGGACCUCUGGAAGAGCAGUCAGUGCUCUUAACACACCAGUUGCUCUCAGUCCAAUCCAGUUCCUGGAUCAUCCUAGGGUAUAAAAAUGCCUUCUUGGGAAUUGUGUUCCUGCCAAGUCUACACUGGAAAGACAUAACAUCUGGGGUGUGACAUAAAAGGCCCCUACAGUUUGAUAGAAGUGAGGGGUGAGGGUGAACUGAGUAUAUAUCUAAGGCCAGACUCUGUCUUUAGGGGCAGUCCCAGUAGACCUGAGGCUUGAGUCAGGACUCUUGGUAGACACAACGGAAGACAUGGUGCUGCCCUGCGUUCAGUAAGGAACCAAGCUUCACCAGAUGAGAGGCUGCCUCCUUCUAGGACCGGGUCUUUUUUUUUUUUUUUUCUUUUUUUCGGAGCUGGGGACCAAACCCAGGGCCUUUACCACUGAGCUAAAUCCCCAACUCCUUCUAGGACGGGGUCUUAUGAUAGUGUUCAAGGGGUCAGGAACCAGAAUCUGAAAGAGUCUGCGGCGUUCCUCUUCCUAUGAGCUCCCUGGAAUGAAGCAAGACCUGCCAAGGUGAAUGGCAGACAAGAGUGACCUCUGAGCUCCAGAUGCAGUGGCCAUGCUGCUUCCAGAGCUCUCUGCAGAGUGUUCAGUGGUGUCUUUCCCCUCGUCUGAUCCUCUCUCAAGCCGUUCGCUGCCCAUGUUCCCUUCUUCAGCCUGUGGCUCUCUGGCCACUUCUGCCUUCAACAAUUAGCAGCCAGACUUGGUACCACCCUGUGCAAGGCAUGCGAUGUUUGCAGUGACCGAGUCAGUGUGGCCAGUGGCACAGAGACGGUCUUGUUGUUAGAUCCUGCUACUCCCCUGGCCUCCAGCGUGGCCUCCAUUGGGAUUUGGGUUUCUUAGGGAAAGUUACCGAGUUGGAUUCUUUAUCACGAGGAUGUAGGCACUUGGUCAAAGAGAAGCAGUGCCUAGCUAAUCAGUGACUAAGGCUGGGACACAUCCUCCCUCGGUUCUGUCACCUAAACCUGGCAUCUUCAAGUUAUGUCCACAAGCAGUCAUCCGGCAGCCUCCUCUGUGGGAAGACAUUGCUUUUCUCCGUGAGUGACUGCCUGAGAGCCACCCAUGGCUGGUGUAGCGCCUCACUCCCCAACAAAGGUUUUUAUAGCAUCUGUGGGAUCCCUUGCGACUGAGCACAUCAGUCAGGCGCCGAGUGGGACAUGGAGGUGACAAGAAGGCACACCGGCACUUGGCUGAGAGGCCGCACGGCCCUUCGGGUCUCACCCUGACUAGACCGUGUCUUCGCUGUCUGGCUGUUCAAGGAUAAGCAAGGACAUUUCCUCAUGGGAGGCUCCUGCGACUUAAGGGAGCUGAGGCUCCAGACAAAACCAUCAGGGGUCUGAGGAAUCCACUGGGACUCGAUGGAUGAAUGAGCUGGCUCCUCCAACAUUUGUUUUGCAUAAAGGCCAUUAUUCAACUACACUUAAGAUGCAAGCCGUUCUUUACUCCCCCUGCUGUAGCUUUAAGACGAAUGGAAGAAAUAAUUGUUCUAACAGGCAUAUGAAUUAUGUGCUGAAACUUAAAUUUGAUUACUGCUUCAUAGUUUGUUUUUGUUUGUUUUUCUUUUUUCUUUUUUUUUCGGAGCUGGGGACCGAACCCAGGGCCUUGCGCUUGCUUGGCAAGCGCUCUACCACUGAGCUAAAUCCCCAACCCCUGCUUUAUAGUUUUAAAACUUUUGAAAUAAGGGCCGGUGAGAGAGGUCAGUGGGCAAAGGUGACCGCUACAGAGCCUGACAACCUGAGUUUGAUCGGAACUCACAUGGUGGACA